GCAUCGAUUGCUCAGUGGCAGAGCGGUGGGGCGUUUACCCAUGCGGCCCGGGUUCGAUCCCCGGUCGAUGCA